GACGAACGCUGGCGGCGUGCUUAACACAUGCAAGUCGAACGGAAAGGCCCUGCUUUUGUGGGGUGCUCGAGUGGCGAACGGGUGAGUAACACGUGAGUAACCUGCCCCUGACUUUGGGAUAACUUCAGGAAACUGGGGCUAAUACCGGAUAGGAGCUCCUGCUGCAUGGUGGGGGUUGGAAAGUUUCGGCGGUUGGGGAUGGACUCGCGGCUUAUCAGCUUGUUGGUUGGGUAGUGGCUUACCAAGGCUUUGACGGGUAGCCGGCAUGAGAGGGUGACCGGCCACAUUGGGCCUGCGAGACGGCCCAGACUCGUACGGGAGGCAGCAGUGGGGAAUAUUGCACAAUGGGCGGAAGCCUGAUGCAGCAACGCCGCGUGCGGGAUGACGGCCUUCGGGUUGUAAACCGCUUUCGCCUGUGACGAAGCGUGAGUGACGGUAAUGGGUAAAGAAGCACCGGCUAACUACGUG
rnacentral:rRNA from 1 species